CCCCCUCCACUCUUCAUGCACCACACCCUUCAGCUCCAGAGACGAGUGAGAUGGGGAUGUGUCUGCAGCACCAGGGAGGGACGGUGUCUGAGAGGUCCCCUGCACCCCGCAAUCCUAAAUUGAGAAGCACCCGUCCGACAAACACAAGAGGAGAUAGGAAGAUGGAGAUACGCACCCAUCUAAUGUGGAACCGGAGAAAACAACAAAGAAACAAGAGAUGACGUGGCCCACCAUGUGGAGGAUGUGGGACUUCCCACUAAGAUCUGCGAACGCUCACCAAUCUUCUUGGAAACCGGAAUUCUCCAUCCUCCAAAUCUCUGUUUCACCAAUAAGUGAAGUGGAGAUUAUGUUCCUCAUGUCCACUGCCAAACUAGGAAUGGACUCAAACAUUCAAACUAUUGACGAGAGAACACCUGCAAAUCUAUACAUGCCUUAAUCAUAUACUAUAAAAUAAUAUACUAUGUUAUAUAAUUGCCUUAUAAUAGGACAUCAACCUUUGAUUGCUGGGUUCCCACAUCCGUGAAUGAAAGUGCCAUAGCAUUUGCUGUUUUACCCAACACAGCGACAGCUAUGUUAAUGUGGCUGGUACUGCAGCUCAGCCCAUUCAAGGGAAGGCCACAAAGCAUGGUUGAGUUGCAGUACUUAGCAGAGCCAUACCCACAUGUCAUUUUGCUGGGUACUGCAGUAUAGAAGUCUAUAAACUGGCUUCUCUGUUUGGGUACUGCCCGAGGGUGAAGCUGGCAAAAUUGUGUGGCCAUUGGCUGCUGCAGGUGGGAUUGGCUUGGCUGUAUGCUGUCAGCUGCAAAAUCUGGUUGUAUCAUUGGAAAGUGUGGGUAUUCCUGCCAUAAGGUGAUGUCUGCAAAACAUAUUUUUUUUUUCAGUGUUGGAACUGUUACAGUUUUUUUCUAAAUCUUCAGAUGUCUUCCAAGGAUUUUCGACCUAUGCCGACAACCUGACAGGAUAGAUGGCAAUGUUCCCCAUUCCCCAUCCUAAUCUUGGCUAACCACUACUCAAGCUUAAUGUCCUCUGCAAUGCCUCCUCUGUGUCCAUAUAACGGUCCUCAGCUUGUUUUCUUCCGGCGCUGCAUGGGCAUAGUUACAUGCUCCACUGCAGCCAGUGAGCGGCUUCAGCAGUGACGUGCUGCUUCUGCCCAUGGCACCAUUGAAGUCAGUCAUUGGCUGCAGUGGAGUAUAUGAUCAUGCAGCACCUAAAAAAAAAAGCCGUAGACCGGAACAUGAACAAACUGGAGGCAUUGUGGAGGACCAAAGAGGCAGGGAGCAGAUAAGCAUGAAUCUUCUGUUUACGGAGGUAGGCUGCAGGCACUUCCAGAAAAAUAAAUCAGUAUUCCUGGAGAACCCCUUUAAAAAAAAAAACACUGAAAAACUAUUUAUUGUACCAAUAAAACUGCAGCUCAUCCCACAAAUAAACAAACCCUAGUACAGCUCUAUCAAUGAAAGAAAACAAAAUUGUUAUAGAUCUCAGGAUAUGGCCAGAGAAAACAAACAUUUUACAAUUUUAUAUUUUUGUAUUGUGCAAAAUAGUAAACCUAGAUUAAAAAGAAAAACUAUCACUAUUGUCUAGUAUAACACAUACAUAAAUAGAAGGCAGGAAGGUGUUUAAAAAAAAACUUCUAAUAGAUGAUUCAUAUUGAAAAGUAAUUGCCUCUUUCUUCUAUUUAUUGUAUGAAAACUACUUUGUUUCAUUUAUAUUUACUUUUUGUUGUGUCGAUGGUGGAACGCUGCGGGGGAGGCGGGUUGUUAUUUGAUAGUCACCGACUUUUAGUCAGAAUAGCAGAUUUUUGGACACCUUACCCAUUUCUUUGUAUGUUGACCUUGACUGACCUAAUACAUAAAGUUAAAACAAAACCAUCACUCACCUUUUUAAGUUCUGAUGCUGUAGCUCCCGGUUGUACAUGGAAGUGAUAAGGCCUCGUUCUUGGUCACAAGACCACUGCAGCCAAUCCCUGGCUCAGUGGUCACAUGUGGAAAAACGUCACGUCACUGCUAAGACUCAGCAGUGGAAUGGGGCUGGAAAAGAAAGAUUAAAAAAGUGAUAUUUUUUCACAAUUUGUGGUAUCACGAGAAUGUUUUGUAUGGAAUUUUUUGAACACCAGUACACACUACAGUGCUCUGCAAUAGAUAACAAUGAUGUGAUCUUACCUACGAUAUGCCUUCAUGGCUGAACAGCCUGACAGGAACGCUCACCAAUGUGUAGUACCGUAUAUGCAAGUGCAAUAGAGUAGUGUAUAGGGAGGCCCUACCCCCUUAGGCAGCUGUGCCAGAGGACGCAACCAGUCCUGCUCACAUUCUAGGAUAGGUUGCUUUGUGGCCAUUUUAAAUCAUUGCCGGAGAACCCCUUUAAGGGUACUUUCACACUUGCGGCAUAGGAUCCGGCAAUACGGACACAAACGGAUGCAUUUGUCAGAUGGAUCCUGAUGUGGAUCCGUCUAACAAAUGCAUUGCAAUACCGGAUCCGUCUUUCCGGUUGUCAUCAAAACUUUUUUUUUACGGUAUUGAGCCCCUGUGACGGAACUCAAUACCGGAAAAUAAACGUUUUUCCCAUAACAUGUAUAGUAUAGGUGAUACUGGGACCACCACCAAUUACAAAAAUGUGAGUCCCCAAGUCCGCUACCCUAUUGUUUGGGACGGACAGAGAUAGCUGAACACUAUACUCAUCAGUCACAUAGAAGUGAAUAGAGCAGUGGUCACACAUGUAUGUUAUUUCGAAUUUGAGAUCUAUUUGUCUUUUAGAUACUCCAUGUAAUUCCAUCCCAAAUAAAAUUAAGUUUGAGUGUUUUUUCUUCCUUAUAAAAAUCAACACAUUCAUAAAUAUAAAUUGAAUUUUUAAAACAUUUUGAAAGCUUUUCCAAAUGUACCAGAUGGAUGAUGAGUGCUAUUCUAAUAUUUGAUGCCAAGAGCUUUCCUGUGUGUCUUCCAGUAGAAUUGUCCCCCUACUCCUAAGAAUUCAUAUAUUUUUGUAAUCACUUUUGUGAAACUAUAAACUGCAUUUACACUGCCUGACCGUCUGGCAGAUUAUCGGGAACAAACUUUUGUAGGAUAAUUUGCCUGUGUAAAGGUGCUGCAGAUCACCCGAAAUGUUCGUUCAUCUGGUGAAAUGAUUGUUGGUGCAGACACCUCAAUCAUGGCUCCCUGGCAGCAGAUCGAGGUGUCUCACCAGGGAUCUGCUGCCCAGAAACAAUGCAGCUGUAUGAGGACGAUGGAUAGCAGUAGCCACUUCUCGUCCUCAUACAGUGGAGGUGAUCACUGCUUGGAAAUGCAACGCUUCACCUCUGUAAUGAGCAGACAGUUGUCAGAAACUAACGCUUCCUUCCCAAUAAUUGUCUAUUCGCUGCCCCUGUGUAAAUGCAGUAUCAGAGACAUUGGUAUGGUUAUGCAUACGCUUAGAAAUGUUUUAUUCUUUAUAAUGUUACUAGUAUGUGAAUCAUCACAAGGAGAAGGGAAGAACGCAGAAAUGUCUUAUAACAAUUGGUUGUCCUUAAUGAAAUAAAAUAAUUGAAAAAAAGUGUAAAAUGCAUACAUGGCUAUAAGCUGAAUGGGGAGAAACUGUCAGGAGCCAAAGAGAGCUGUGUGUGUAGAGACUGUCAGGAGCAGGGGCGUAACCGAGCCUGGCGGAGGGGUGUUGGGCGUCAGGAGCCAGGGAGAGCUGUGCAUACAGACUGUCAGGAGCCAGGGAGUGCAGUUUAGAGACUGCCAGGAGCCAGGGAGAGCUGCAUAGAGACUGUCAGGAGCCAGGGAGAGCUGCAUAGAGACUGUCAGGAGCCAGGGAGAACUGUAUAAAGACUGUCAGGAGCCAUGGAGAGCUGUAUAGAGACUGUCAGGAGCCAGUAAGAGCUGGGCAUAGAGAAUGUCAGGAGCCAGGGAGAGCUCUGCAUAAAGAAUGUCAGGAGCCAGGGAGUGCUGCAUAGAGACUUUCAGGAGCCAGGCAGGGAGAGCUGUAUAGAGACUGUCAGGAGCCAGGGAGAGCUGUAUAGAGACUGUCAGGAGCCAGGGAGUGCUGUAUAGAGACUGUCAGGAGCCAGGGAGAGCUGUGCAUAGAGAAUGUCAGGAGCCAGGGAGUGUUGUAUAGAGACUGUCAGGAGCAGGGGCGUAACUGGGCCUGACGGAGGGGUGUUGGGCGUCAGGAGCCAGGGAGAACUGUGCAUAGAGACUGUCAGGAGCCAGGGAAAGCUGGGCAUAAAGACUGUCAGGAGCCAGGGAGAACAGGGCAUAGAGACUGUCAGGAGCCAGGGAGAGCUGUGCAUAGAGAAUGUCAGGAGCCAGGGAGAGCUGUGCAUAGAGAAUGUCAGGAGCCAGGGAGAGCUGUGCAUAGAGAAUGUCAGGAGCCAGGGAGAGCUGUGCACAGAGAAUGUCAGGAGCCAGGGAGAGCUGUGCAUAGAGAAUGUCAGCUGUAUAGAGACUGUCAGGAGCCAGGGAGAACUGUGCAUAGAGAAUGUCAGGAGCCAGGGAGAGCUGGGCAUAGACUGUCAGGAGCCAGGGAGAGCUGGGCAUAGAGACUGUCAGGAACCAGGGAGAGCUGGGCAUAGAGACUAUCAGGAGCCAGGGAGAGCUGGGCAUAGAGACUGUCAGGAGCCAGGGAGAACUGUGCAUAGAGAAUGUCAGGAGCCAGGGAGAGCUGUAUAGAGAAUGUCAGGAGCCAGGGAGAGCUGCAUAGAGAAUGUUAGGAGCCAGGGAGAGCUGUGCAUAGAGAAUGUCAGGAGCCAGGGAAAGCUGUGCAUAGAGAAUGUCAGGAGCCAGGGAGAGCUGUGCAUAGAGAAUGUCAGGAGCCAUGGAGAGCUGUGCAUAGAGAAUGUCAGGAGCCAGGGAGAGCUGGGCAUAGAGACUGUCAGGGGCCAGGGAGAACUGUGCAUAGAGAAUGUCAGGAGCCAGGGAGAGCUGUGCAUAGAGAAUGUCAGGAGCCAGGGAGAGCUGUGCAUAGAGAAUGUCAGGAGCCAGGGAGAGCUGUGAAUAGAGAAUAUCAGGAGCCAGGGAGAGCUGGGCAUAGAGACUGUCAGAGAGCCAGGGAGAGCUGUGGAUAGAGAAUGUCAGGAGCCAGGGAGAACUGGGCAUAGAGACUGUCAGGAGCCAGGGAGAACUGUGCAUAGAGAAUGUCAGGAGCCAGGGAGAGCUGGGCAUAGAGACUGUCAGGAGCCAG